rnacentral:rRNA from 1 species
UACGUAGGGUGCAAGCGUUACUCGGAAUUACUGGGCGUAAAGCGUGCGCAGGCGGUGAUGUAAGACAGAUGUGAAAUCCCCGGGCUCAACCUAGGAACUGCAUUUGUGACUGCAUCGCUGGAGUGCGGCAGAGGGGGAUGGAAUUCCGCGUGUAGCAGUGAAAUGCGUAGAUAUGCGGAGGAACACCGAUGGCGAAGGCAAUCCCCUGGGCCUGCACUGACGCUCAUGCACGAAAGCGUGGGGAGCAAACAGG